GUAAACAGAAGUAAAGCAUUUUUGGGCUCCGAGGCAAAGCGUGGUGAUCAAACACCACGAUCAAUGACUUUGAAGAGAUCUAACACCUCUUAUAAAUGUCGUUCAUGCGAGAUGAACUGAAGCAAUGAAGAAAUUCAUUUCUGGAGCCAAUGGCCGCGUGUUUUCUCUCUUUAGAAGGAGAGAAGAAGAAAAAAGAGAACAGAGUAUAACAAAGGAAAGACUGCCUCUGGUUUCUUGCACGUUGCAGUGUUAACUUCUUGUUAGCUUUGACUGCACGGACGAGCAGUCGUGGGCCUGCAGGGGAGGAGUCAGUGGAAAAGACGAGAUGCUCUAAGAAGUUUCACAACUCUGUGUCUCGCGUCUCACAAGCAAACUUGUUGAAGUUUAACAUGAAUAAAACAGAAAUUACUCAGGCCUGAAACUUUAACCUGGAGGCUUCACGGUGCUCUCAUCAGUCUCAUCUUCCAUUUGUGUGCUUCAUGUUAUUUGAGCUAAACCCUAAUAUGUCAGACGCAACCCUUAAACUGAAAUCUUGACCGUAUUGGUAGCUAUCAGCCUCCUUUUUCAAAGGUCAGAGCGAUUUCACCCUUGAGCAAAUUCAAGUGAACAUUAGACGAGCGAAGGCUUCCUGUUCUUAGUGGCGUAGUUGAAAUGAUGCUUCCUGUCAGCAGACGUUAAGGUAAAGGCAGUCUCUUAAGUGUGACAUCACUGCCACUCGCUUGACUCGAAACCAAAGGCGAGGUUUAGAGUUUGGGGAACAAGUCCAGGAAGCUGUGUCAACCGAUAAGACAGAGAACUUAUGUAGCUUUAACAAAGACAGCUUUUUCUAUGUUAGCUUUGAAUUGAGGUAAGAGUUGGAAAUACGGUUUGGCGUGCGACGAUCUGCCGGCUGGUUUCACUGCACGGUGUGUGGCUGUACACACCCUGACUCCUGGACAUGGCAGGUCUUUGGGGUCUGAAGAUCCUGCUGUUCUGGGCCGGGAUCAUCGGUUUGGCCUACUCUCAAGUCCCCACAAAUGGCACCAAACAUGAGUUCCAAUAUAUUUAUGAUGUUAAAUAGUUUAUAUAAUUUACUUCUUAUUGUGUCGUUUUCAGACUUGUUUAAUUGCAGUUGUCCCCUGCUGUGCUUCAUGAUGUAGCAUGCAUCUCCCUCAGCCUCCUACUGUUUACAUGAUCUCUUCUCUUUAUAGAUAUAUACACCGUCCUCAAACACUUAUUAUGAAAUGACAGAAAUAUGUCUUGUUACUUAAAUUCAUGAACAGAGGCUUCCAUCUGGGUUAUCUGUGUCAGCAAUUUAAAUGCAAUCACCAAAAACAAAAAAAUAGUUAUGUUUUUGCAAAAUGUGUAAAAUGUAUUGUUAUUUGUGUUCAUUUAAUUGUAAGUUUACUGUGAAAAGAUGAAAUCCUUAUUUUCAUAUAGUUGCUGUUUUGCACAGAUAAUUUUCC
ensembl:lncRNA